rnacentral:rRNA from 1 species
UACAGAGGUGGCAAGCGUUGUUCGGAAUUACUGGGCGUAAAGGGCGCGUAGGCGGCCUUCUAAGUCAGACGUGAAAUCCCCCGGCUUAACCUGGGAACUGCGUCUGAUACUGGGAGGCUAGAGUAUGGGAGAGGGAUGUAGAAUUCCAGGUGUAGCGGUGAAAUGCGUAGAUAUCUGGAGGAACACCGGUGGCGAAGGCGGCAUCCUGGACCAAUAUUGACGCUGAGGAGCGAAAGCCAGGGGAGCAAACGGG